rnacentral:rRNA from 1 species
AUGAGGAUCUCCCUCCGCCUCCCCCUGGACCUUCACUCACUCUCCCGCGCAUCCGCCGUCUGCAAGCCGUGGCGAGGCAUCGUCGUCGAUCACAAGUUCGUCCACCGGUUUUAUGCACGCCAUCGUAAGCCGCCCCUCCUCGGAUUCUUCCAGCACGGCGACCAUGAGAUCAGGUUCACCCCCGUCUGCUUGCCCCCCGCUCCCGACCGCAUCCUACCCGGGAGCUACUCCCUUGGACAACGCUACAGCAACUCCGAGGUGAGGGAGGUGCUGGAUUCCCGCCGCGUCCUCCUCACCAGCUGGGUCAUCAUCGACGGCUGGGUGCGUGAAGAGGUUGUUGUGUAUGAUCCUAUCACCAGCAAGCAGCAGCAUCGCGUGUCCAUUCCGCUGGGGUUUAGGAGAAUUGGUGGCUUGGUCAAUGGGGCAGUGUUCUGCGCCGCUGCCGCCCGUGAUCACGUGCACGACAACCGCCGCUCAUGCCCCUUCAAGGUGGUCUUGUUGUCCCACAGAAAAUGUAAGCAUCCAUACGCCUGCGUUUAUUCCUCCGAGACUGACACAUGGAGCAAUAUCAUCUCAACAGAGGCUCCAGAUGAUACUCCUUUUGGUGUUUCUCCUAGCACCCUUAUAGGUAAUGCCCUUUACUGGCCGGCUAAGCAUAAGGGAGAUAGCAUUCUUCAGUUUGAUUUGGGGACGCAGAACCUUGCUGUCAUAAAGGGGCCUCCUGGUAUGAACAUGGAUGAUUUCGACAACUUUCAUAUCAUUCAGGCAGAGGAUGGCGCUGUUGGUCUUGCUGCGUUGUCUCACAUUGAGCUUCAAAUGUGGGAGAGGAAGGUUGAUUGUCCAGGUGUUGCCAUAUGGUUAUUGCAGAAGACUGUUUCAUUGAGUAAACUUCUUAAGGUCCCUCCUCGGACUGAGCAGAGUUACGAAUCACUUAAAGUGGUGGGGUAUGAUGAGGAUAAUAAUGUAAUCUUAUUGGCUAGGCACGACGGCGUCUAUAUGGUUCAGCCCAAGUUAUUGCAAGCCAGGAAACUUAAUGGAACCGGUUCUACACAUUAUUGUUAUACUUUUACGAGUUUCUAUCCACUAGGCAGAACCAUUGAUGGUGGAACCAAUGGAGCUGACAAUGUCAGGAUGACUCUGGCUUGA